AAACCAACAGGGAUUGCCUCAGUAACGGCGAGUGAAGCGGCAAAAGCUCAAAUUUGAAAUCUGAGGCUNUCAGCCCCCGAGUUGUAAUUUGAAGAUGGUGUUCUGGNGCCGGCCCCCUGUCUACGUUCCUUGGAACAGGACAUCACAGAGGGUGAGAAUCCCGUCUGGCGGGGCGGCCUGGCUCCGUGUAGAGCGCCAUCGACGAGUCGAGUUGUUUGGGAAUGCAGCUCUAAGUGGGUGGUAAAUUCCAUCUAAAGCUAAAUAUUGGCGAGAGACCGAUAGCGAACAAGUACAGUGAUGGAAAGAUGAAAAGAACUUUGAAAAGAGAGUGAAAAAGUACGUGAAAUUGUUGAAAGGGAAGGGUAUUGGAUCAGACUUGGUGCUGUGCGAAUAGCGGCUCUUCUUGGGCCGCCCACUCGCACUCCACCGGGCCAGCAUCGGUUUGGGCGGCAAGACAAUGGCGGGGGAACGUGGCACUGCUCUCGGGCAGUGUGUUUAUAGCCCCCGCUGAUGUUGCCUGCCUAGACCGAGGACUGCGGCUUCUGCCUAGGAUGCUGGCGUAAUGAUCCAACACCGCCC
rnacentral:rRNA from 1 species